AUUGAACGCUGGCGGCAGGCCUAACACAUGCAAGUCGAGCGGAUGAAGGGAGCUUGCUCCUGGAUUCAGCGGCGGACGGGUGAGUAAUGCCUAGGAAUCUGCCUGGUAGUGGGGGAUAACGUCCGGAAACGGGCGCUAAUACCGCAUACGUCCUGAGGGAGAAAGUGGGGGAUCUUCGGACCUCACGCUAUCAGAUGAGCCUAGGUCGGAUUAGCUAGUUGGUGGGGUAAAGGCCUACCAAGGCGACGAUCCGUAACUGGUCUGAGAGGAUGAUCAGUCACACUGGAACUGAGACACGGUCCAGACUCCUACGGGAGGCAGCAGUGGGGAAUAUUGGACAAUGGGCGAAAGCCUGAUCCAGCCAUGCCGCGCGUGUGAAGAAGGUCUUCGGAUUGUAAAGCACUUUAAGUUGGGAGGAAGGGCAGUAAGUUAAUACCUUGCUGUCUUGACGUUACCAACAGAAUAAGCACCGGCUAACUUCGUG
rnacentral:rRNA from 1 species